rnacentral:rRNA from 1 species
AUUGAACGCUGGCGGCAUGCUUUACACAUGCAAGUCGAACGGCAGCGCGGGCUUCGGCCUGGCGGCGAGUGGCGAACGGGUGAGUAAUGCAUCGGAACGUGCCCAGUAGUGGGGGAUAGCCCGGCGAAAGCCGGAUUAAUACCGCAUACGACCUGAGGGUGAAAGCGGGGGACCGAAAGGCCUCGCGCUAUUGGAGCGGCCGAUGUCGGAUUAGCUAGUUGGUGGGGUAAAGGCUUACCAAGGCGACGAUCCGUAGCUGGUCUGAGAGGACGACCAGCCACACUGGGACUGAGACACGGGCCCGACCCCCACGGGAGGCCGGAGUUGGGAAAUUUGGACAAUGGGGGGAACCCCGAUCCAGCCAUGCCGCGUGCGGGAAGAAGGCCUUCGGGUUGUAAACCGCUUUUGUUCGGGAAGAAAUCCUCUGGGCUAAUACCCCGGGGGGAUGACGGUACCGGAAGAAUAAGCACCGGCUAACUACGUG